UCAAUAUCAAGCAGUAUUUCGCUGUCUAUAUGCGAAGACGUCUUUGCUUUUUUGUGAUGUUAUAUCUUGAAAUUCUAGGGCUUAAUAGCUGGUCAUUUAGUGGUUUUUUGGUAUCUUGGCUGGUUGUAUUUUUUUUUAUUUUUCAAGGGAUUUUUCUUUUCUCUUCUCUUCUUGUAUCUCUGCAUCUGAAUAUGCCUUUGUUUUUUUGUGAUGUUUUGGUUUGGUGUUUCAAAAUAUCUUCAAAUUCUAGGGUAUGAAGAACUGGUGAUUUAGUGAUUUUCCCCCUUGGCUGGUUGUAUUUUUUGCUUAUUCAGAGGAUUUUUUUGAAAAACUGGUGGUUUGGUGUUUCUUUUCCACCCCUUUUGCUUCAAGUUUAUUCCUCUUCUUCGUUUGCAAGGGACUGUGAGUCUGAGUGUUGAUAAACAUUUUAGUUUCCCUUACGUUAUAACUCUGCAUGUGUGGUUUUUUUUUUUUUGAUUGGGGCUGUACUAGCCAUUUCUGAAAGUAUGACACAACGUGCUAAUAUUUUGGCUUCAAUUGGAUUUCUGUUAUUCGCAUGCCUGUGAGUUCAUUGUAAGAAGAUUUUAUUCGAGUCGAUAUCCUCUGCUCGUGAUAUUGCAUAUUUGAAUAAGAAAGUAGGGUGUCUUCAUUAGGGUGCUCCUGUUAAAUUACAACUUCGAAUCUUUCAUGGGUCCGUAUAUGAUCUAUCAAUGAUGAAAACAGCAUUGCCUGUGGCAUGAGCCAUAGAGUAUGUACAAAUUGCAAGUUUGUUGUCUCUAAUAGUGAUCACAUUCAAAUAGUUGAAUGCUGAGUAGUUAGAAAGUCUUUUUAAUAAUGCUGUACAAUUGCACUACUAAGACUGUGGAAGUUUAUAUACUCUUUAAGUAUGCGCCUUCAAAAUGCUUAACGUUACCUAUUUUCAGGAUUAACAAAGAUAUGACCCACGAAACCUGAAGCCCUCAGAAGUCAUUUAAUUGAGACUGAUAUGCAUGUUAGAGACAAAAUACUGUUGUUGUUUGACUCUUGGCAAGUGGCCCUGGAGGAAAAUAUUCCCAGGAUUACUGGGGGUAUGAGGACUUAAGGUUUGUCAAGCAUAGAGUCUAUGUGCGAUGUUCUGGAUCUCUUAGCUGACAUGCUUCAAGUUGUCAAUCCAAGUGAUUGCUCGGUAGAAACUCUUGAUUCUGUUCAUGGUUCCAAAAUUUUCUAAAAAUUUCCUCACAUUUACUUCUCUGUAGCCUGUAAAAGAUGAAGUUAUAGUUAUCUUGUUGAGCAAUGUCAUUCCAACUAGAAGAAAUUGAUGCAGAUGUUGACUAUUACAGGGUUAGAUCGUGUCGUACUGAAAAUAUAGGAGAAAUAUUUGCCUUGAAGAAAUUAAGGAAGUCAGAUAUGCUCAGGCAGGGACAGGUUGAGCAUGUUCGCUUUGAGAGGAAUUUGCUUGUAGAGGUUGACAGUCAGUGUAUAGUGAAACUUUUUUAUUCUUUCCAAGAUUCAAAUUUUUUGUACCUUAUCAUGGAAUAUUUAGCUGGUGUGGACAUCAUGACCUUGCUGAUGAGAGAGGAUAUUCUUUCUGAAGAUGUUGCCAGAUUCUACAUUGCUGAAAGUAUUCUUGUUA